rnacentral:rRNA from 1 species
UCGAGAAUCAUUCGCAAUGGGCGAAAGCCUGACGAUGCGACGCCGUGUGAGCGAAGAAGGCCUUAGGGUCGUAAAGCUCUUUCGCCUGGGAACAAGAGAAGUCGGCUAAUAUCCGGCGGAUUUGAGGGUACUAGGUAAAGAAGCACCGGCUAACUCCGUGCCAGCAGCUGCGGUAAUACGGAGGGUGCAAGCAUUAAUCGGAUUUAUUGGGCGUAAAGGGCGCGUAGGCGGGGAUAAUAGUCAGAUGUGAAAUCCUGGGGCUCAACCUCAGAACUGCAUUUGAAACUGUAUCUCUCGAGGGUAGGCGGAGAAAACGGAAUUCCACAAGUAGCGGUGAAAUGCGUAGAUAUGUGGAAGAACACCGGUGGCGAAGGCGGUUUUCUAGCUUAUUCCUGACGCU